GUUGUUCACUAUUUGCAGCAUCUCCUCUCUUCUCCCUCGUCAUUUUUGUCUCCGUUCUUGUCCGAUCAAACACUAUGUUCAAAUCUGAUUUUGUUCUUCCUUCUCUCUUAACUUCUAUGGCUUUAGAACUGAUUUUGAUGUCGUCUUUAGAUUUGAUUUCGCGUUUCUUCAUCCCCAUCAGUUCCAUCGCCAUCGAAACUAAAUCUGGAUUCUUAGAUCUAUAGGUCUAGCCCUUCACAUAUCUAUAGAUCUAUGUUUAUGGUAGUUUUCUUCUUGAAUGUUUUCUCUAGACCCUUCACAUAUCUAUAGAUCGUGUCUCUUCCCCUUGCCACUCAAAACGAUCUUUCUCUCUCACCACUCUAAACUUUUGAUUCCCUUUUCUACUUUAUUCAAUCUUCUCACUCUAUCAAAAUAGGCUCUAAUUUGUUUGGUUGAGGAACGAUUGUGCUUGGUGGGGAUAAAAGUUAUCGUUUGGAGAGUGGUAGGGUGUGAAGGACGAGAUCUGGAGCUUGGUAGGGGGAGGUCGAAGGUAAUCUUUUUUUCUCAUUUCCCAUUCGAUGAUCAGGUCCAUUUUUUUCAAGUUUAGCUCAAAAUUUUGUAAAUCAUGCUUUAUGUUUGUCCACUGUUGUCCAUUAUUUUGUUUCAUGUUCAUUGUUUUGCUCCGAAUUAUUUUGCUUACAAAUUAUGCUCUGAAUUUUGUUUCAUGUUCAUUAUUUUGCUAUUAUCGACUUUGUUUAUUGAUUCUAUCAGGUAUUUGAUGGGUUUUAGAUUAGUUAUUUGAUGAAUUUGAUGAAAUUUGAUCAUUUUGAUUAGGUUAUUUUCAUUGUGUUGUCUAUAUCUUCAUUAUACUGAUGAAGAAGAAUGGAUUUUGAUUAGGUUAUUUUCACUAUGUUGUCUAUAAUGUUAUGUUUAUUCUUGGUUUAAUUAUUUGUCCAUUUUCUAAAUUAGGGUCUAUUGUUGUCCAUUUUGGUCACUAUCUGUCAAUUUUUUGUCACUUUUGGCCUCUAUUUGUCCAUUGGUUGGCCAUUUUCGUAAAUUUUGAUAACUAUUUGUCCAUUGUUUGUUUAUUUCAAUCUCUAUUUGUCUAUUGCUUGUACAUUUUGUAACUUUUGGCUUCCAUUUGAUCAUUGUUUAUUGUAUAUUGAUUGACAAUAGUUGUUAGGUACAAUAUUGUAUUCAUAAUUAGCAUAUCCCUUGUUUUUAGGAUGAUUUAUUAUAAAUUGAUUGACAAUGGUUGUUAGGUACUGUUUACUGUAUUCAUCAUUGUCAUAUCCUUUUUUCGGAUGAUUUAUUGUAUACUUAUUGACAAUGGUUGUUAGUUAUUGUUUAUUAGAUAGGUUUUUGUCAAAAUCAUUUACUUUUAUUUAUAUAUGUAUCUCACAUAAAAAAUUUCGUGGGCCAAUAAUUCACACAACUAUAUAUAUGUAUCUCACUUCACUUCAACUUAGGCCAAACUCAUUCCAUCUAUUUACUUAAUGCAAUUGGUAUCUCAUUUCUCUUAUCUCCAACAUUUUCUUAUUCUGUGUUUCCAUGAACUUUGCAUUUUUUUGGUUUCUAUUGUCUCUAUUGUUUGUCUCUAAUUUUCAAUUCUUCUUCCUUGAAUGAAAUAAUUUACCAUUGUUCGUCUAUAAUUUAAAAUCAAUUGUCGGUCGUUCUAUCUACAUUGUUAAUUUCUCAUUUAUCAUUAUUCAUGAUAUUAUCUGAAAUUCAAGUUUCAAUUAAUGAAUUUCAUAACUCUAAGGCUGGACCUGUUUCCAUUCAAUUUUUUUUUUAUACUUUAUAAUUAUGCUCUCACUUGCCUUCAAGUAUAAGGACAAACAUAUUUCAUCUACUUCAUAAAUGUAAAUGGUAUGUCUUCUCCCUCUUUAUCCAACUUUUUUUUUUAUCACGGGAGUUGACGAGUGCCUCCCUGUUAUUACUUCUUGAGUAUAGUACUAAUGCUCUUUAUUGUACUUUGUUUUAGGGUUGGUAUUAUUAUAAAUUAGCCGGAUCAAACACUAUUUACCAACUUUCUCUUGCUAAGAUGGCAUGUACAUCAAGGUAAAUGUCAAUGCAAUUGAUCGCCUAAGGUAUAAGACGAGGAAGGGUGAAAUUGCAACAAAUGUACUAUGUGUGCGAUCCAAAUGGAGACUUUGUAUUCGUCUUAUUAGGGUGGGAAAGAUCGGCAACUGAUUCUCGAGUUCUCAGAGAUGCAAUAUCACAACCUAACCGACUGAAGGUUCUGAAGGAGUUUUUUUGGCUCCAUAUAGAGGCGAAAGAUAUCAUCUUUCAGAGUAGCGUGGAGGAGGUAAUGCACCAACUCCUCCACGAGAAUUCUUUAACAUGAAGCAUUCUUCUGCACGGAAUGUCGUCGAAAGAACGAUCGAGUUGUUACAAGGUAGAUGGGCAAUCUUGCGAGGAAAAUCAUACUACCCAGUGAAAAUCCAAUGUUGAACCAUCAUGGCAUGUUGCCUUCUACACAAUUUUAUCAAUAGAAAGGUGACUAACAGUGACCGAGGAUUUGGAUGAGGUGGAUUCAAGCUUCGCUACACUAGGGGGGAUGAGAUCAAUUAUAUUGAGAGUUCAAAUAAAUGGACCCAAUGGAGGGAUGAAUUGGCGCAACAGAUGUUUACUAAAUGGGAGUUGCAUAGCAUAUAGUGCCUUUAUGCUUCUUUAAUCAAUUAAAACGCUUAUUUUCUUUUUGUGUGUUGUGAAAUGACUUCAUUUGGAACUCUUUCAUUAUGUUUACUAUAUUUUGUGCUUCACUUUACCCAAUA